AUACGUAGGGUGCGAGCGUUGUCCGGAAUUACUGGGCGUAAAGAGCUCGUAGGUGGUUUGUCGCGUCGUCUGUGAAAUUCCGGGGCUUAACUCCCGGCGUGCAGGCGAUACGGGCAUAACUUGAGUACUGUAGGGGAGACUGGAAUUCCUGGUGUAGCGGUGAAAUGCGCAGAUAUCAGGAGGAACACCGGUGGCGAAGGCGGGGCUCUGGGCAGUAACUGACGCUGAGGAGCGAAAGCAUGGGUAGCGAACAGGAUUAGAUACCCUGGUAGUCCAGGCCGUAAACGGUGGGCGCUAGGUGUAGGGGUCUUCCACGACUUCUGUGCCGUAGCUAACGCAUUAAGCGCCCCGCCUGGGGAGUACGGCCGCAAGGCUAAAACUCAAAGGAAUUGACGGGG
rnacentral:rRNA from 1 species